GGUAUUGUGGAGUAAUGGUAUCUCAGCAGAUUGCUAAUCUGCCCUACGGCAACGUAGUCCGUGUUCGAAUCACGGCAGUACCG
rnacentral:tRNA from 1 species